UACGUAGGGCGCGAGCGUUGUCCGGAAUUAUUGGGCGUAAAGAGCUCGUAGGCGGCCUGUUGCGUCCGCUGUGAAAGCCCGGGGCUUAACCCCGGGUCGGCAGUGGAUACGGGCAGGCUAGAGGUAGGUAGGGGAGAAUGGAAUUCCCGGUGUAGCGGUGAAAUGCGCAGAUAUCGGGAGGAACACCGGUGGCGAAGGCGGUUCUCUGGGCAUGAUCUGACGCUGAGGAGCGAAAGUGUGGGGAGCGAACAGG
rnacentral:rRNA from 1 species